rnacentral:pre_miRNA from 1 species
UAUAAUGUUUUGACUCUUCGUUUUAUUUGAUUUUUUUUGCGAUUAAUAAUUCUAUUCUUUCUAGACAAUAAACAUAAAUAGUACUUUAUGCGUGACUAAUUUUUUAAAGUUUUUUAUAAAAUUUUCAAAUAAGACAAGUGGCCAAAUGUUGGACUCGGAAAAAC